CCUACGGGUGGCAGCAGUGGGGAAUAUUGGACAAUGGGGGCAACCCUGAUCCAGCCAUGCCGCGUGUGUGAAGAAGGCCCUCGGGUUGUAAAGCACUUUCAGUGAGGAAGAACGCCUGGUGGUUAAUACCCAUCAGGAAAGACAUCACUCACAGAAGAAGCACCGGCUAACUCCGUGCCAGCAGCCGCGGUAAUACGGAGGGUGCGAGCGUUAAUCGGAAUUACUGGGCGUAAAGCGCGCGUAGGUGGCUUGAUAAGCCGGUUGUGAAAGCCCCGGGCUCAACCUGGGAACGGCAUCCGGAACUGUCAAGCUAGAGUGCAGGAGAGGAAGGUAGAAUUCCCGGUGUAGCGGAGAAAUGCGUGGAGAUCGGGAGGAAUACCAGUGGCGAAGGCGGCCUUCUGGACUGACACUGACACUGAGGUGCGAAAGCGUGGGUAGCAAACAGGAUUAGAUACCCCUGUAGUC
rnacentral:rRNA from 1 species